UCUCUCUCUCUCUUAGGCGCCCAAAAUGGCUGGCCCCCUGCCCAUACCAAGACUGGGCCCUGCUGUCCAGGCUGUAGUUAAACUCCUCUGCCAGUAGAGAGUUCACUCCAACCUGUCAAGUCCCCUCCAGAUUCUCUCUUUGAAAGAGAUCACGGAAGGGGAUGGUGAAACUCAGGAUCAGCCGUGAUGGUGGAUCACCUCAAUGAGUCGAUUGGUCUCCUCUCCCUCCUCUUCCUAUCCAGGUAUCCCCGGCUGUUCAAAUGUUCGCUUUAUGCCUCUUCGCUUUCACAAAAGUCCUACGUUAGUACCUGCUUUCGCUAACUGAAAGUAAUCCGAAGAGGAUUUUGGCUUUUACGAGAAAAGGCAAACUGUUUCCUCUAUAAACGAAUGUUUCUUCGCUUUUUACCAUUUCGGUUUACAAAAGGUUUCAUAGGAACGCUGCACUUUCGGAUAGCGGGGAUGGGGGGGGGGCUACCUGUAUGGAGGCCCCUCCCAUCAAGCCCCACCAGCCAAGAUGGUGGUUACAGCUGAGCAGCCCCACCCCCGCCCGACUCUCUACUUGCUGCCUCAUGUGACACGCGUGUUCCUUUUCCCUACGCGUGCAGGGCCCUGGAGGAGUACAUGAACGACUCUGUAAACUACGUGAUCACGGCAGAGGAGUGGGAUGACCGAUUUGACGAGGCUCUGACGGAGAACUCCAACCUGGCCUUUGUGAAGCCUCGAUGGGUGUACGUAUGCAAUGCGAAGCAGAGAAUGGUGCCCCACCAGCCCUAUGUGGUGGUCCCUCAGCAAUAGCGGUUCGAAACCCAUCUCCUCUUGGUCCCCUGAGGCCAGAGGGAGGGCAGUGGAGCUGAACACUGAGGGGGCAGAGACCCCCGGAUCCUGGCAUCAAACCUGUCAGGCCAGCUGAGCGUGUGUGAGGAAACAAAGCAAGUUACCAUGGCGAUGAGGGAGGCCAUUCGGUCCACUGAGUUCAUUCUAGUUCUGCGUAAGAUGAUCCAGUUAGCCCCAUUCUUGCUGGAUUCUUGUAGCAUUGCAAGUUUAUUUCUCUCAUAUGUCUCUUCAAAUUCCAUUUGAAAUCAUUCAUCAUCUGCGCUUCCCCCCCCCCCCCAACACCCUUGGGCAGAGACCCCUUCCCUUGACCUUUUUCCUCAAAACCUGAAGACUCUGUCUCCCCCAGUCCUUCCUAUUGAGAACAGGUUUUCUUUGCCCACACUUUUUUUUAAUAUUUUUGGUUCGUUUUGUACCUUCCUACCUGGUAUCCUUCACUACCGGGAGAGUUAACCCUGUCACUGAAAUCUGUCCCCUCUGCAGCCCGUCCGAUGAAUCUCCCCCGCAGCCUCUCACCCCUCACAUUCCUUCUCAAGGAUAAAAACUUCCAAAAAUUCCAGAAUAACUUGCCUCUUGAAGGUGUAUUUUAGAUUAGCCUGUAUCAAGGUGAGAAACCGAAGAUGAGGUCACGCAGUCAGCAGUGCUACUGAUAUUGUUUGAAAUUGUCUAAAUCUUUGCUCAAUUGAUAGCUUUUGUUGUUUGAUUCUAUUUUCUUGUAAAUAAACCAGAUGCGUUUGCUUAAAGCCCUGAAGGGGUUUUUUGAAGCUGA